rnacentral:rRNA from 1 species
GAUGAACGCUGGCGGCGUGCCUAAUACGUGCAAGUCGAGCGAACAGACGAGGAGCUUGCUUCUCUGACGUUAGCGGCGGACGGGUGAGUAACACGUGGAUAACCUACCUAUAAGACUGGGAUAACUUCGGGAAACCGGAGCUAAUACCGGAUAAUAUAUUGAACCGCAUGGUUCAAUAGUGAAAGACGGUUUUGCUGUCACUUAUAGAUGGAUCCGCGCCGCAUUAGCUAGUUGGUAAGGUAACGGCUUACCAAGGCAACGAUGCGUAGCCGACCUGAGAGGGUGAUCGGCCACACUGGAACUGAGACACGGUCCAGACUCCUACGGGAGGCAGCAGUAGGGAAUCUUCCGCAAAGGGCGAAAGCCUGACGGAGCAACGCCGCGUGAGUGAUGAAGGUCUUCGGAUCGUAAAACUCUGUUAUUAGGGAAGAACAAAUGUGUAAGUAACUAUGCACGUCUUGACGGUACCUAAUCAGAAAGCCACGGCUAACUACGUG